UACGAAGGGGGCUAGCGUUGUUCGGAAUUACUGGGCGUAAAGGGCGCGUAGGCGGUGUGUCAAGUCAGGCGUGAAAGCCCCGGGCUCAACCUGGGAACAGCGCUUGAGACUGGCACGCUCGAGUUCGGGAGAGGAUGGUGGAAUUCCCAGUGUAGAGGUGAAAUUCGUAGAUAUUGGGAAGAACACCGAUGGCGAAGGCAGGUCUCUGGGCCAUAACUGACGCUGAGAAGCGAAAGCAUGGGGAGCGAACAGG
rnacentral:rRNA from 1 species